UUCUUCUUCUUUCUUCUUUCUCCUUCUUUCUCUCAUGUUCUUCGCCUGUGUGGGUGGUGUGAGUUUUAAGUGAGAGUUGAUGAUGAUAAUCAUUUGGUGAUACUGAUAGAUGAUGAAGGAGAUAGUGUGGUCGAUAGCUAUGAAGAAGAGCAGCCUGGAUUCAAAUAUGAGAUAAAUUGUAUUUAGGGUUUCUAUUUAAAUCGAUGAAGGUGAAGAUGAUAAUAAGAUUAAGAUCGAGAGAUGAAGAAUAGAUUUACAGGUAGGUGGAGAAGCAAUGGGUUGAGGUUUAAUUGCAGUUUUGAAGUUGUUUUGGAGAUGAAUCAAAGAAUUAGGGUUUCCUGAGUUGGAUUGGAAUUCGAUUAGAGAUGAAUUAGAGAUGGGUUUUAUCAGAAUUGGAGUUUGAAGAUGAAAUUAAAAGUUCAAGAGGAAGAUUUGAUAUUGGUAUGAUCGAUAUGGAAGUUAGGGUUACGUCUUGAGUUGGAAUUAUAAAAAUAGAGGAUUGGGAAUUUGUCAGGGUUUCCAAGAACCAUUAAUGGUGUUAAAGAUUAUUAAAUUGUUGAUGAGCUGUGAUGAAUUGCUGAAGUGAAGCCAGGUGAAGAAGAAAUUGAAUUUAUUUGCCUGAGUAUUACUGAAUCACGGUAAGUGUUCUUAUCAGUAAAUUUAGUUUAGUUAUUCAUUUUAGUUUGAAUUUGAAGGGGUUUGCUGUGAAUGUGGAAUUAUAAAUCAUUGUUAGUGAUGAUGUUGAACUAGUAGAAAGAUUAUUAAGUUUCAAGGAGGAUCUGAGCCUGUGGUGAUAAGAAAUUGAUCAGAUUGUGAAAUUAAGAAGUUGGGGUUUAAGUGAACUACAGUGGGUGUUGGUGCUGUAUUGUUGGUGGAGUUGGAUAUGAGAGUCUCAAGUAAAUGGGUUUGUUGGUGAACUGGAGGUGUUAAUGCAUGAAUUGUAAUUGAACUGGUGGAGGUUUAGAUACUCUAGGUACUGGUGGUUGUUGAAGAUGGUAUUGUACUGAGUCUUGAAUGGUCGGUUAAACUGGUAUUAUAGUGGUUUAUGAUUUACAAAGGUUCCGUGUUGGAAUUGGAAGUUGUAAGAGAUGUUGUUGAUGUCUGCAAUGGUUGAGAUUUAGAUGAAUGUUUGGAGUUUGCAGAGGGAAUGAGUCUUGCCAGUGGGUUGAGGCUGUGGUGUUACAGUUGGAAUUAGAAUCAAGAGUGUUGCUCGUCUGGUUGUAUUGGUUUGAAUCUGAUGAAUCACAAUUGCAAGGUUGUGAAAUUGGAGGUAUUGAGAUGUGUUACAUGUAUGCAAAUGGUAGUGUUGUGUUGAGAUGCAGGGUAUGAUUGAAGUUCUAGAGGGUAGCUGGUUUAAGUUGUGUUAUGGAUGCUGGCUAGAUUGCAGCUGCAAUUGAAAGGGGAAAACUGAUGAUAAUGGAUUGAGAUUCAGCUGUGGUUGAGUUGAAGUUUAUAUAAAUGAUUGUAAUUGUUAGUUUUAUUGCAGUCUAGUGAGAUUUAGUAACCUGAGAUGAUGACGUUGUGACAGUAAAGUCACAAUUGCUGUGACUUGGAGAAGUUGAACUGAAUGGGUGGUGGUAGUUCUGGUAGUUUGAGUUACUGGUGGUUCAGAUGGAGUUGUAUCAGCUCAUGAUUGAUGAAAGGUGGAUGAGUUGAGUUCAGCUAUUGGAAAUUCUAUUUUGUAUGGAUGUGUUGCAGUUGAACAUAGGAUGGCAGUGUGGUUAAUGUUCAGGUGAUAUGAGUGAAUGGGGUUGUUGUAUGGAUUGAAUUUGUUUGUGCAGUUUUGUUUGUGUUGAAGUUAUCUGAAUGCCAGGUUCUGGAAGACGUUAAUAAAAUUAAAUUGGCAGUGUUGUUAGAAUAGAGUUAAGUGAAUGUGUGGAGUUUAAUCUCUUGUAGAUCAAUCUUAGAGCCGAUUGCAGGUAAGUUGUAACUGUAUUUGUAAAUGAUUCUGAGGUUUGUUUAAGAAUGUUUGAGCUGAAGUUGAUUGUAAUUGUUGUUGUAGCAGUGACCUUAGUGAAAGCCUGCAACUACUGAUUGAGUUAGUCUAUAUUAACAUCGAUCGAUUCAAAGGAUGAACCAGUGGAUCGUGGAUCUCGAGGUAGGCGUGGCUUGUCAUCAAAAGAGUUUCAGAGACAGAUCAAAGUUGUGCAGGGAAUGCUUCAGGGGUUGAGUUCGCUAGCUGAUUAACUUCGAUUAUGUUGUAUAUUUUAUUUGUAAACCAGAUGAAUAUUGUUAUGUAUCAUUUGAGAGGAGUUAUUGUAUAUAUAUGUUUCUGAGCGGGGCUAAUUUUUGGGUUAAGUUUUGUAGCAGAUUUCUUAAUUGAAUGUUUAAAUAAAUGAUUUAGAUUCUUAGU